GUGGGGAGAGAAAGCGGCGGAGCCUGGCUGGGCAGAGACACAGAAACGGCUGGCUGCUUCGGAAGACGCUCACUAGAGGAAGGGCCAUGCAGGAAGGAGCCGGCUGAACGCUUGGCUGCCCAAGGAGGUGGCGGCAACGGCCAGCGGGGAAAACACAAGCAGCCUAGAAAGCGGCAGGGCUUGCUUCUUAAGUGUAUCUUCUGCCAUGGUGAAGAGAGCAAGGAAAGAAGCAUACAAGCCUCAGCUUGCUCCCAGUUCUGCCCCAGCAUUGAAUCCUGGCAUAGCAGAUCCUGUGGUAGAUCAAGAAUGGUGCCUUUCAGGAAGGCUGAUAUUUUUCCAUAACCAUGAACUACUUUAUCCUCAAACUGGUAUGCUUACAACAAAUUCAAGCCCAGUUUAAAUACAAUGACAAUCACAUAAAGAAGACUUGCCAGGCCACAAUUCCCGGAGCUCAGCAUCACAUUUAAACCAGGACACCAACCAGGGCAGGAGACAGUUCGUCAGAUCUGGACAGUUCUCAGCACUCCAAUUAGCUGGCUAGCUAGAAAAUUGGAAAAGGAAGAGGAAGUAGAUCAGUUCCAAAGGGCCCUCAGCAAAGUGACUCUUGUGCACCCCUUCCUGCCUGGAUGAGCUCCCCAUCAGAAGCACCCAAGGUGACUCACAAUCAACUGACUGGGACUCUGAUGGCAGCAGAACACUCAAGAGAGCCUCACUCUCACUUGACAAUCUUGAGAUGCCAGCAAGGAUACCAAGAAAAGAUACCACAUCCAAUGGGAGAGUAAGGAGCUGGGCUGAGACAUACAGAACAGAAAUCACAGGAGUGGCAACACCCUCUGUUAAUCACUCAACACCUCUCAAUAAGCACCUGGUCGCAUGAAGUUGGUGCUGCAACUGCUCUCCAUUAUUCAUGUUCAUCCUGUUUCAAUAAGCCCCAAGGCAGCCAUCCAGCGGCCCUAGAGACAAGAGACGUUCCUUACCCCUGCAUUGUAUGGACUUCACUAACGGGCUCUUGGGAAAUGGCAAGCCCACGCAUACUAGUAUCCGUCCUGGUUAAAACAGCAGCCUUUUUGAGAACGGAAAGAGAUGAAAAGGCUACACUUUUUAAAGGCUUCACCUGGUGUUGAAACAGCAUGCUAUCUGACCUGGUGCGGAGUCGGGGCCUCACAACUGAAAAGGGUCACAGCUCCUAAGUCACCACCCACCUCACUUCUGAAGGAGAGAAGGCAAUUUGCACAUGCUCAGAGGCAUUCUCGUCAGCCUGGCUCCCAAGGAGAAAAUGUCUACCAGAGGAGAAAAUGUCAGACAAAAGUGCCUCUAUAUGAUAUCUAUGAAAAUAAGUACCAGGGCUAAGUAAUCCCUGGCUGAAAUUAAGCUACUCUGUCUUGUCAAACUAUGGGGGCAUUCACAUGACUGACAGGGCCGGCAAGCAGACAGGCAGGGGGAAGGCUUCCCAAACCUUGCCUUCCCCCGAGAUGACCCUUCCCUGCUUGGUGGGAGCACCCUCUGUCAUCCCACAUGAUCAGCCUUCUGCAGCGCGGAGCAGGGCAGAUCGCUCUGAGGCUGGAACUCAUUGUCCCAGCCUUCAAGAAUCCCACAUUGCACCGCGCACUGAGUGCAGUGCACUGGGGGAUUCCCCCAGGGUCAAACACACGAUCCUGGGGCUGAGGUUAAGGGAGCAUUUGCACCCUUAACCUCAGCUAUGAGCCGGGCUGCAGCGGUUUAGCACCGCAGCACCAAGUUCCACACGGAUCCCGGCAGCUCUCACAGGCAGCCAAACCCAGGCUUGGCUGCCUGGGCUUGGCUGCUCGUGAGAACAGCCUCAACGUGUCUGUAGCAAUUAUUAUUGUUGUUGUUGUUAAUUCGAUUUCUAGCUGUAAGUUUGGACUGCUCCCCUUUCCCCCUUAAUUGGGCACACAUCUCUACUAUACAAAGUUUGAUUGAGUCCUAAGCAUGAGUUGGAAGGGAUGACAUUUUGAGACUGGCAUUUUGAUUUUCAGCAGUCAUUCAAGUUUAAUUAUAAGUAAUGCACAAGAAAAACUGAUUUAACCUUCCGACAGCCAAACCCAUAUGAUGAGGAAUUUAGAUAAAAGAGAGGGUUGGUGAAGAGCACAAUGAAUUAAGGAUUUCCAGAAUACUGGCACAUCCCUCUUCUAAAUCCAUCAAAAAGCCACAAGAGUUCUAUAAAAGCACACAUCAAGGGCUUAUAUACCUCUGCAAAGUAUUAAUGAGUUCGUCUGCUCUUCUCAAUAGUCUACUUGAAUCCAACACCAUAAUUACCUGACCUAAAUGGUAGCUGUUUUGCUAGUAAUUUCAUAAGGAAUCUUUAAACUGAAUAAUUAUCACAAUUCUGCAUUCCAUGUUUGUCUGUAAUUCAUUUGUGCUUGGUCAGAGAUUUGUUUUACCUUUUAUUUAAACCUGAGUCAAAAUAU